rnacentral:rRNA from 1 species
UACAGAGGUCUCAAGCGUUGUUCGGAUUCAUUGGGCGUAAAGGGUGCGUAGGCGGCGCGGUAAGUCGGGUGUGAAAUCUCGGAGCUUAACUCCGAAACUGCAUUCGAUACUGCCGUGCUUGAGGACUGGAGAGGAGACUGGAAUUCCCGGUGUAGAGGUGAAAUUCGUAGAUAUCGGGAGGAACACCAGUGGCGAAGGCGGAGACCUGGGGCCAAUACUGACG